rnacentral:rRNA from 1 species
AUUGAACGCUGGCGGCAUGCCCUACACAUGCAAGUCGAACGCGAAAGGGGGGCAACCCCUGAGUAGAGUGGCGCACGGGUGAGUAAUGCAUCGGAACGUGUCCUGUAGCGGGGGAUAACCUAGCGAAAGCUAGGCUAAUACCGCAUACGCCCUAAGGGGGAAAGUGGGGGAACGUAAGACGUCACACUAUAGGAGCGGCCGAUGCCGGAUUAGCUAGUUGGUGGGGUAAAAGCCCACCAAGGCGACGAUCCGUAGCUGGUCUGAGAGGAUGAUCAGCCACACUGGGACUGAGACACGGCCCUGACUCCUACGGGAGGCAGCAGUGGGUAAUUUUGGACAAUGGGGGAAACCCUGAUCCAGCCAUGCCGCGUGGGUGAAGAAGGCCUUCGGGUUGUAAAGCUCUUUCGGCCGGGACGAAAUCGCACGCGUGAAUAUCGUGUGCGGAUGACGGUACCGGCAGAAGAAGGACCGGCUAACUACGUGCCAGCCGCCGCGGUAA